AUGAUGAUUUAGAUUUUUUACGUUUAUGGUUUAAACUGAAACAAGCCAUGUAGAAAUUUUUCUAGGGCGGUCUGAGCAA
rfam:Nasonia vitripennis chromosome 2, whole genome shotgun sequence.